UUGUAAUUUGCNNAGGAAGCUUUAGGCGCGGCACCAACUGAGUCCCCUGGAACGGGGCGCCACAGAGGGUGAGAGCCCCGUAUAGUUGGACGCCUAGCCUGUGUAAAGCUCCUUCGACGAGUCGAGUAGUUUGGGAAUGCUGCUCAAAAUGGGAGGUAAAUUUCUUCUAAAGCUAAAUACCGGCCAGAGACCGAUAGCGCACAAGUAGAGUGAUCGAAAGAUGAAAAGCACUUUGAAAAGAGGGUUAAAUAGCACGUGAAAUUGUUGAAAGGGAAGCGCUUGUGACCAGACUUGCGCCCGGCUGAUCAUCCGGUGUUCUCACCGGUGCACUCUGCCGGGCUCAGGCCAGCAUCGGUUCUCGCGGGGGGAUAAAGGUCCUGGGAACGUAGCUCCUCCGGGAGUGUUAUAGCCCAGGGCGUCAUGCCCUCGCGGGGACCGAGGUUCGCGCAUCUGCAAGGAUGCUGGCGUAAUGGUCAUCAGCGACCCGUCUUGA
rnacentral:rRNA from 1 species